GAAGCUGUAGCUCAGUUGGUAGAGCAACGUAAAAACACUUUAUACUAAUUUUAAUCUGCUUUGGCAGGUGUGUUCCAUAAAGUUACUUCGCCUUUUAAGCCGUAUGCCGCCGGUUCGAGCCCGGCCAGCUUCC
rnacentral:tRNA from 1 species